UGUGUGUGGGAGAGGGGGUAGGUGCCCUUCUUCUUAAGUUAUAUAAUUAACAAAAGUGCUAGUGGUAGGAGAACUCCAGAAAAGUUUAUGCCUUUAGGAAUACUUUUUAAAUUUCUUAAUGUUUGAAAUUAAAAAUAACCGUUAUAAACAUAGACUGCAAAGCAAACUCUUACUCCACCAAAAUGACCUCCUCUUACCCCCGUUGCUUUCUAUACAUGCCCAAAGAGGAUAAAGUAAUCUAAAGACUUCUCUAAAGUUUGGAAUACUAGAGGCCAAGAAAUUCUAAGAACAUUUAGAUAAAUCAAAUAUUCUCUUCCUUCAUCUCCCAGUGUGCAGUCUCUAGCGGCAUUACAAGCAGAACUUAAGUGAAAAUUUUCCAUGGGCCUUCUUUAUCCUUAUUCAGUUGUGGCGACCAGCAUCUUCAGAAACCAAUAAUUCUUGCAGAAGAACAAGCCAGGGAGGAUAAGUAUUAUUUUUUUCACAUCUAUGGGCAAAAGCAGCUUUCCAUAACAAAAAACAAUUCAAUCCUGUUGCCUUGAAUUGCCCUAGGUGGAAAUCAUAGGGUUUUUCGCCCCCAGGAGAAAUUUUUAGCCACUUGUCGAGUGCAAUAAACACAGAUUUUUUGUCCUUGCAUGUUUUUCCCAUGCCUCACUUGAGAAGCCUAAAGCUUAGAUAUUUCCAGGAAUGUUCUCCCCUCCCUCCAAAAACAAUGUUGCCCUGCCCCUUUCCCCUUUUAGCCGUGGAGACAUUACAGAUGAUUAAAUGAAGUUUAUAUGUGAUGGCAAGAGAUUAUAGUUACAGCCUUUUUGAACUUUCUUCUCCAGCACCCUCAGGUGGUAUGAGAAUAUCCAAGUGGCAACACUCUGAGGACCAAUAAUCAAAUCCAUCUUUUUCUUUGCUCCACCAUUUUGUCAAGCAGGAGAAGUCCAGGGUUAUGACGUAUGGGCUUCCACCACAUGUCGGCCGCAGGUUUCAGCAGUUGUGCCACAACGUGUUGCUCAUUCUUCAUCAGGCCAAAGAAAAUCCCACUGAGAAGCUCAAAGUCAAGGGAAGGGAAAUAUACUCCAUCUUUUGUAAAAGUAUCCUGCAAAGGUAUACAGCAGAGAGUGUGUAUAAUAGAGAACCGGAGAGACAAAGGUGAGCUUUUGCAAGAGAGAAGAAGUGAAUUAUAAAGGAUAAAAUGCAAGGUACAAUAUUAGAGGAGAUGCUGUAAGGAGAAAAGGACCAAGCCCCACAGCCCAAUUCUCCUAGGAAAUGAGGUUUGAUGCUUCUUCCCAAUGCAGAAUAGCAAAAGGAUCUGAUGCAAAUUUAAUAUGGAAUGUUUUAAAGUGUGGCCAAACAACUGGGUGAUAGUGAAAAGGCAUUGACUCCAUUGUGAAGAUUAAAUGAAUCCCUGACACUUGGAAGAUUCAGCUGAUAUUUUUUUCCUUCACAAUUGAGUUUCAAGUCUAUGAAGAUUAUUGAGUGAUUUGGUCAUUAGCUUUUUUCCCCUCGACUUUACUGUUAUUCUUUUUUCUUCUAAUUUUUUUUAUUACUUCUGAAUA